rnacentral:lncRNA from 1 species
UUCUACAGAAACUGUAGGUCUGACAAAAAUUUUACAAGAGGCGAAAAAGUUUGAAACGGAAACCAGCUAGUGGCAGAAAUAAGUUUCAAUUAUUUGUACCGGGAGUUACAAAAGUACGAACAAUUACUAACGAAUCAAGCGUCAUGUUUAAUAUUUUCACGCAUUAAAAAAAUAUCACGUUUAGGUCAAAACACGUAGCAACACUGUUCAUUAAAAAAUUACUGAAAAUAGAUAAAUGCGUUUAGAAAUUAUCUAAAAAAAACUAUAUUAAUUUGAGAACUCUGGCGUCCUGUAGCGGAAAAAUGCAGCAACAUUGGAUAUUGGUAAGUUUUUCUCCAUCGCUGUCUUAUCUUCGGGUAAGGAAUUUGUUAAGCGUUGUACUGUCCUUUCAGGGACACCCUGUAUAUUUAGUUUUUGUGUCGAAAAUUUAUACUUCAUACUCUUCACUGCGUGCUAUCAAUGUGGGUGCUUAAUUGAAAAUUAAUUCCAAUAAUUAAAUUUAAAAUAACAAUUAUCUGUAUUGCAUAGAUUAGUAUGAUUUGCACUGUUAAUUUAUAGCUGCAUUUAAUUGGACUACGGAACGCGGAUCAGGACAAUCAAGCAAACGGUUGGACUUUCCGAGAGAAUUAAUUAUGAAGAGAAUUAAUAAAAUGUAAAAACUAUUUGGUACUUACCCUAAAUUAAAAUAGACACGAAAGCACAAACCCGUCUGUGGAUUAUACUACUGAUUUCGAAAUGCGAGGCUUACAACGUUACAUAGGUCUCAUAUAAUAUAGUCUAUUUUUGUUUUCCCAAUGGAAUUGAUUAGAUAAAGUGUUCCAGACAUUUUCUAGGUAUUAUUCCACUUCUUGACAAUUAUUCCAUUAGCCUUGAAAAUUGAAGAAUAUAUAGCAACAACAAACUCAACAUAAGUGUUGAGACUGAAAACGAUAAUUAGACAGAGCUAGAAAAAAACACAGAUAGCGCUACAUAAAAAUUUCCGACUUUUGAAAACUGGGCCAGAAUUCUAGUAGCGCAGUAAAUUGUUGUUUAUGUCACUUAUAAGUAGAUACGGUGAAUAUGCAAAAUAUUAAGUGUUAAAUAUUCAAACAUUCAAUGCGCCAUGUAAGGUGUUUUAGCAAACAAAUUACGACGGGAAAAAAUUCCUGGUAAAUGGUUUUCUUCUGACAUCGUAAGUUUCAUACUACUUCACUUUGAAGAAGCGUAAAAUUAUUUGCUAAUGAUUCCUAUGAGAUACAUGCAUCCCCAUACACAGAAGGUAAUAUUGUAAAAGAAGUACAGCGCCUCAUAUCACUUACAUGUGAUCCUCGGCAUAGCGAACAAAACGCAUGCAUUAUUUUUAUAAGUUGUGCUUUGAAAAGUUGAUUUGCUAAUUUUGUUGGUACUUGGUUGGGUCGAUUAACCUGCUGAAACAUGUUUUGUGUAAGUUUUGAGCUUGAUAACUUAGAGCUUCGCGCCUCGGGAGUGUCCAUUAAUAUACGAAAAGAAUUAUUUAAA